GGCCGUUGGAGCACCAGCUUCAAACUUGAAAAACCUCUCUUCUCUUCGAUGCAACCCCUUAUUAACACCAACAGCAACCACAGAUCGGUUCGCUUCACUUCACUGCGCCAUAUCCAUACCAGGGAGAGAGACAGACCACACUGCGUACCCUUUUAGCCUGAUAAAUUGCUUGCUUGAGAGAAUUAUAUAUGACAGGCAUUGUCAUGGUGAACAAAGGAGGUGGCCGAGGUAGUGGGGCUGCGGGAGCGAAGGGUGCAAGAGGGAGCGAAAACGAGCAGAACCAGCUGUCUAUGGCGGCGAUUAUAUUGGAAGCUAUAAGGAAGUCAGUGUCUUGCAGUUUUGAGGAGAAAGAAGAUGUGAUUCCUGACGUUCAUCAUUUGGAGAUCGGGUGGCCUACGAAUGUUCAGCAUAUUACCCAUGUCACGUUCGAUCGCUUCAAUGGGUUU
rnacentral:misc_RNA from 1 species